CAGUCGCCACGGUAAUACAGAGGGUGCGAGCGUUAAUCGGAUUUACUGGGCGUAAAGCGUGCGUAGGCGGCUUUUUAAGUCGGAUGUGAAAUCCCUGAGCUUAACUUAGGAAUUGCAUUCGAUACUGGGAAGCUAGAGUAUGGGAGAGGAUGGUAGAAUUCCAGGUGUAGCGGUGAAAUGCGUAGAGAUCUGGAGGAAUACCGAUGGCGAAGGCAGCCAUCUGGCCUAAUACUGACGCUGAGGUACGAAAGCAUGGGGAGCAAACAGGAUUAGAGACCCGUGUAGUCCCUGUCUCUUAUAC
rnacentral:rRNA from 1 species